rnacentral:rRNA from 1 species
AUGGCCGAGGUUGUGACCGGAGCAAUGAGCACCCUCCUUCCUAAGCUAGCCGACUUAAUCACGGAGGAGUACAACCUUCACAAGGGUAUCAGGGGCGAGGUCAUGUUCCUCAAAGCUGAGAUGGAAAGCAUGGAGACAGCUCUCCUGAAAGUUUCUGAGGCACCAAUCGACCAGCCACCGGACAUCCAAAUCAAGCUUUGGGCCAAGGCUGUGAGGGACCUGUCAUAUGACCUUGAAGACAGCAUCGACAGAUUCAUGGUGCGCAUCGAAACCCAUGGACAAGACAAGUCCCAUAGCUUCAGGAACUUCAUUGAUAAGAGCAUCAGCUUGCUGACCAAAGGCAAGAUUCGUCAUAAGAUCGCCAUUGAUAUCAAAGACAUCAAGAGCCGCAUCAAGGAGGUCAGCAAGCGGCGUGAUAGGUACAAGGUUGACAAUGUGGCCGCUGCCAAGUCAACUGGUCCAAGUGUUGAUACCCUUCGUUUGUCAGCCUUGUAUACAAAGGCCAGUGAGCUUGUCGGCACUGACGAGAAGAGCCUUGAGGUAGUCAAAAUGUUGACGGAGGGAGAUGAGGCUUCCAAGAAACAGCUGAAGGUGGUAUCCAUUGUUGGCUUAGGUGGAUUAGGCAAGACAACACUUGCCAAUGCAGUGUAUGAGAAGCUUAAAGCGCAAUUUGAUAUUCAAAAACAAAAACCGCAAUUCGAUUGUACGGCUUUUGUUUCCGUGUCUCUUAAUCCUAGCAUGGAGAAGAUUUUCAAGAGCUUGCUCCAUCAACUUACCAACCUGAAGUACGAGAAUAUUGAGGCAACAUGGGGUGAAGCGCAACUCAUUAGCGAGAUAAGAACAUUCCUUGGAAACAAGAGGUACUUGAUUGUUAUUGAUGACAUAUGGGAUAAAUAUGUCUGGGAAGGCAUCAAAUGUGCUUUUAGAGAGAAUGGGCAUGGAAGCAGAGUAAUAAUAACAACCCGUAUUCUUGAUGUUGCGCAUCAAGCUGGUGGCGUUUAUCGGCUACAGCCACUUUCUGUUGUUGACUCGAGGAAGUUGUUCCACCGAAGAAUAUAUGAGACCGACAACAAAUCACCACCUAAUCAUUUGGUUGAAGUAUCUGAGAAUGUUUUAGAAAGAUGUGGUGGAGUGCCUUUAGCUAUCAUUACAAUUGGUAGCCUGCUGUCCAGUAAAAAGGGAAGAGCACAUACACAUGAGUAUUGGUCCAAGGUGUACAAAUCUAUGGGUUCUGGACUAGAUAAUAGUCAUGAUGAUGUUAAGAACAUGAGAAGGAUAUUAUCCGUCAGUUACUCUGACCUACCUCCACACCUAAAAACUUGUUUACUGCAUCUCAGUCUGUAUACAGAGGAUUAUGAGAUUGAAACUGAGCCAUUGAUAUGGAAAUGGGUGGGUGAAGGUUUUCUAAAAGAAGAACGGGGGAUGAGCUUAUAUGAAGUAGGAGAGGAUUAUUUCAACCAGCUCAUUAAUAAAAGCUUGGUCCAACCAGUAAAAAUUGACAAUGUGAAUAAAGUGCGUUCUUGUCGCAUACACGAUAUGGUGCGUGACAUGAUCACUUCCUUGUCAAAUGAAGAGAAUUUCCUAACAACAAUUGGUGGUCCGCAGCCAGUGAGUCUACCAAGUAAGAUCCGCCGACUGUCUGUCCAGACAUGCAUUGAAGAUGUUGCUAAUCAGCUGCCACCCAUGGGAUUGACCCAUGUGAGGUCACUUACUGUGUCUAAUCCAGCUUUCAGUUUGUUGCCGGCAUUGUCGGGUUUUCCAGUCCUACGUGUGUUGGAUUUUUGGCUGCUGGGAGGUGGAUAA